ACGGGUGAGUAACGCGUAUCCAACCUUCCCAUAACUACGGGAUAACCCGUUGAAAGACGGCCUAAUACCGUAUGACAUCGCUUGCUGACAUCAAAUAACGAUUAAAGGUUUAGCGGUUAUGGAUGGGGAUGCGUCUGAUUAGCUUGUUGGCGGGGUAACGGCCCACCAAGGCGACGAUCAGUAGGGGUUCUGAGAGGAAGGUCCCCCACAUUGGAACUGAGACACGGUCCAAACUCCUACGGGAGGCAGCAGUGAGGAAUAUUGGUCAAUGGGCGAGAGCCUGAACCAGCCAAGUAGCGUGCAGGAUGACGGCCCUAUGGGUUGUAAACUGCUUUUAUGUGGGGAUAAAGUGCGUGACGUGUCAUGCAUUGCAGGUACCACAUGAAUAAGGACCGGCUAAUUCCGUGCCAGCAGCCGCGGUAAUACGGAAGGUCCGGGCGUUAUCCGGAUUUAUUGGGUUUAAAGGGAGCGUAGGCUGUCUAUUAAGCGUGUUGUGAAAUUUACCGGCUCAACCGGUGGCUUGCAGCGCGAACUGGUCGACUUGAGUAUGCAGGAAGUAGGCGGAAUUCAUGGUGUAGCGGUGAAAUGCUUAGAUAUCAUGACGAACUCCGAUUGCGCAGGCAGCUUACUGUAGCAUAACUGACGCUGAUGCUCGAAAGUGCGG
rnacentral:rRNA from 1 species